AUACAUGCAAGUCGAACGAGAAUGUGUAGCAAUACACAUGUACAAGUGGCGAACGGGUGAGGAAUACAUGGGUAACCUACCCUCGAGUGGGGAAUAACUAGCCGAAAGGUUAGCUAAUACCGCGUACGCCUCCCGGACUGCGGUUCGGGAGGGAAAGCGAUACCGUGGGUAUCGCGCUCUUGGAUGGGCUCAUGCCCUAUCAGCUUGUUGGUGAGGUAACGGCUCACCAAGGCAUCGACGGGUAGCUGAUCUGAGAGGAUGAUCAGCCACACUGGCACUGCGACACGGGCCAGACUCCUACGGGAGGCAGCAGUAAGGAAUAUUGCGCAAUGGGCGAAAGCCUGACGCAGCGACGCCGCGUGGGGGAUGAAGGUCUUCGGAUUGUAAACCCCUUUCGAGAGGGAAGAUGGGACGAGCAAUCGUUCGGACGGUAACCUCCAGAAGCAGCCACGGCUAACUUCGUGCAGCAGCCGCGGUAAUACGAAGGUGGCAAAGCGUGGUCCGGAUUUACUGGGCGUACAGGAGCGUAGGCGGUCGGUAAGGCCCUCCGUGAAAUCUCCAGGCUUAACC
rnacentral:rRNA from 1 species